rnacentral:misc_RNA from 1 species
GAUGAAGAACGUAGCGAAAUGCGAUAAGUAAUGUGAAUUGCAGAAUUCAGUGAAUCAUCGAAUCUUUGAACGCACAUUGCGCCCCCUGGUAUUCCGGGGGGCAUGCCUGUUCGAGCGUCAUUUCAACCUUCAAGCUCUGCUUGGUAUUGGGCCUGCGCUGGUCUCCCAGCGGGCCUCAAAAUCAGUGGCGGUGCCAUCUGGCUUCAAGCGUAGUAACACAUCUCGCUUCUGAGACCCAGGUGUUUGCCUGCCAGCAACCCCAUCUUCUCAGGUUGACCUCGGAUCAGGUAGGGCUACCCGCUGAACUUAAGCAUAUCAAUAAGCGGAGGA